rnacentral:rRNA from 1 species
CGGGUGAGUAACACGUGAGUGACCUGCCUUUUAGACUGGAACAACUUACCGAAAGGUGAGCUAAUGCCGGAUGAGUUAUAUAAGUGCAUGUUUAUAUAGGAAAAGUUGGGGAGACCUGACGCUGAAAGAUGGACUCGCGUCCCAUUAGCUAGUUGGUAGGGUAAUGGCCCACCAAGGCGACGAUGGGUAGCCGGCCUGAGAGGGUGGCCGGCCACACUGGGACUGAGACACGGCCCAGACUCCUACGGGAGGCAGCAG